UACGUAGGGUGCAAGCGUUAAUCGGAAUUACUGGGCGUAAAGCGCGUGUAGGCGGUUCGGUAAGUCUGCUGUGAAAGUCCAGGGCUCAACCCUGGGAUGCCGGUGGAUACUGUCGGACUAGAGUACAGCAGAGGAUAGCGGAAUUCCCGGUGUAGUGGUGAAAUGCGUAGAUAUCGGGAGGAACACCAGUGGCGAAGGCGGCUAUCUGGGCUGAAACUGACGCUGAGGCGCGAAGGCUAGGGUAGCAAACAGG
rnacentral:rRNA from 1 species